rnacentral:rRNA from 7 species
UGGGGAAUAUUGCACAAUGGGCGAAAGCCUGAUGCAGCAACGCCGCGUGAGCGAUGAAGGCCUUCGGGUCGUAAAGCUCUGUCCUCAAGGAAGAUAAUGACGGUACUUGAGGAGGAAGCCCCGGCUAACUACGUGCCAGCAGCCGCGGUAAUACGUAGGGGGCUAGCGUUAUCCGGAAUUACUGGGCGUAAAGGGUGCGUAGGUGGUUUCUUAAGUCAGAGGUGAAAGGCUACGGCUCAACCGUAGUAAGCCUUUGAAACUGGGAAACUUGAGUGCAGGAGAGGAGAGUGGAAUUCCUAGUGUAGCGGUGAAAUGCGUAGAUAUUAGGAGGAACACCAGUUGCGAAGGCGGCUCUCUGGACUGUAACUGACACUGAGGCACGAAAGCGUGGGGAGCAAACAGG